UGCACCACAUUUACCUUCAUACCAAUGAAGCCUCAGAUUUGAAGAUAACACAAACUGAUUAUUCUACUGUUUGUUUUUCAGGAACUUCUGAAGCUAAACAGGUGGCACUUAACGACCCAGAACGAUUUGAAGGAGAUCUUUACCUCACUAUUGCAGAGACAUACAAGACUGAUGUGAGAGUCCAGACCUGGGGCGGCCAGUCUGGCCGUGACGGUGACUACUGCGAGGAUAAGCAACGUCAAGUGAUCAAUAUUGAUUCCCUUAAAACUGAUCUGGGUACAUGGAACGCUGGUAAUGAUCAUUCCAAGUGGUGUGUAUCUACAGAGAGAAUUAAAAAU